rnacentral:rRNA from 1 species
AACGAACGCUGGCGGCAGGCCUAACACAUGCAAGUCGAACGAGUAAGAGCCGUAGCAAUACGGAGUUCUGCUAGUGGCGCACGGGUGAGUAACGCGUGGGAACGUGCCUUGGAGUUCGGGAUAACAGUUGGAAACGACUGCUAAUACCGAAUAUUCCCUCAGGGGGAAAGAUUUAUCGCUCCAAGAUCGGCCCGCGUAAGAUUAGGUAGUUGGUGGGGUAAUGGCCUACCAAGCCUACGAUCUUUAGCUGGUCUGAGAGGACGACCAGCCACACUGGAACUGAGACACGGUCCAGACUCCUACGGGAGGCAGCAGUGGGGAAUAUUGGACAAUGGGCGAAAGCCUGAUCCAGCCAUGCCGCGUGAAUGAUGAAGGCCUUAGGGUUGUAAAAUCUUUUGCAGGGGAAGAUAAUGACGGUACCCUGCGAAUAAGCUCCGGCUAACUACGUGCCAGCAGCCGCGGUAAU